rnacentral:misc_RNA from 1 species
GAUGAAGAACGUAGUGAAAUGCGAUAAGUAAUGUGAAUUGCAGAAUUCAGUGAAUCAUCGAAUCUUUGAACGCACAUUGCGCCCGACAGUAUUCUGGCGGGCAUGCCUGUUCGAGCGUCAUUUCAACCAUCAAGCCCCCGGCUUGUGUUGGGGACCUGCGGCUGCCGCAGGCCCUGAAAAGCAGUGGCGGGCUCGCUGUCACACCGAGCGUAGUAGCAUACAUCUCGCUCUGGGCGUGCUGCGGGUUCCGGCCGUUAAACCACCUUCAUAACCCAAGGUUGACCUCGGAUCAGGUAGGAAGACCCGCUGAACUUAAGCAUAUCAAUAAGCGGAGGA